rnacentral:rRNA from 1 species
GACACGUCCUUAAUGCCGUCGCGGGUCCGGCGCGGGGGCACGUCCCCCCUCCGUGGCCCGCGACCCCUCCUGCCGGUGCACGCCCGCGUGCGCCGUGCGGGCUAAC